rnacentral:rRNA from 1 species
GAUGAACGCUGGCGGCGUGCCUAAUACAUGCAAGUCGAGCGAAUGGAUUAAGAGCUUGCUCUUAUGAAGUUAGCGGCGGACGGGUGAGUAACACGUGGGUAACCUGCCCAUAAGACUGGGAUAACUCCGGGAAACCGGGGCUAAUACCGGAUAACAUUUUGAACCGCAUGGUUCGAAAUUGAAAGGCGGCUUCGGCUGUCACUUAUGGAUGGACCCGCGUCGCAUUAGCUAGUUGGUGAGGUAACGGCUCACCAAGGCAACGAUGCGUAGCCGACGUGAGAGGGUGAUCGGCCACGCUGUGACUGAGACACGGCCCAGACUCCUACGGGAGGCAGCAGUAGGGAAUCUUCCGCAAUGGACGAAAGUCUGACGGAGCAACGCCGCGUGAGUGAUGAAGGCUUUCGGGUCGUAAAACUCUGUUGUUAGGGAAGAACAAGUGCUAGUUGAAUAAGCUGGCACCUUGACGGUACCUAACCAGAAAGCCACGGCUAACUACGUGCCAGCCGCCGCCGUAA